rnacentral:rRNA from 1 species
UGAACCUGCGGAAGGAUCAUUACAGAAUGAAAAGUGCUUAACUGCAUUUUUUCUUACACAUGUGUUUUUCUUUUUUUGAAAACUUUGCUUUGGUAGGCCUUCUAUAUGGGGCCUGCCAGAGAUUAAACUCAACCAAAUUUUAUUUAAUGUCAACCGAUUAUUUAAUAGUCAAAACUUUCAACAACGGAUCUCUUGGUUCUCGCAUCGAUGAAGAACGCAGCGAAAUGCGAUAAGUAAUAUGAAUUGCAGAUAUUCGUGAAUCAUCGAAUCUUUGAACGCACAUUGCGCCCUUUGGUAUUCCAAAGGGCAUGCCUGUUUGAGCGUCAUUUCUCCCUCAAACCCUCGGGUUUGGUGUUGAGCGAUACGCUGGGUUUGCUUGAAAGAAAGGCGGAGUAUAAACUAAUGGAUAGGUUUUUUCCACUCAUUGGUACAAACUCCAAAACUUCUUCCAAAUUCGACCUCAAAUCAGGUAGGACUACCCGCUGAACUUAAGCAUAUCAAUAAGCGGAGGAA